UCUGAAUCUGCGNACGGCUCCGCAAACCAGUUGUAAACUAUAGCAAGCAUGCCUGGGUUCCCUUCACGGGGAGCUUGGGCGAUACGGAUAACCCUGGUAAUUCUGAGGCUAAUACGAGAACGCAAUCCUUGGCUGACCGGGCAACUGGGAGGCUGAGAGGCGUGCAGGUUGUGUCGCGAGAAAUCGCCGGAAUUGGAUGCGCGCCUGGGCCGCGCCAAAGACAGAUGAGUGUCCCUGACCCUCACGGGAAGGGGAUGCUUGCCUGAGCGGCUCUUGCAAUGCGCUUCUGACCUAUCAACUAGACUGGCAGCGUGAAGGACAUGCUAUGGUACAACGGGUACAG
rnacentral:rRNA from 1 species